UAUGUAUGAGGAAAAUAUCCGAGCAGUCUGAUUCUCUUUGCAGAUUGAAGGCAUACAUGCUCGCAGAAUACUGUAUACAUAAUC